UAUACGACCGUACCGCAAACCGACACUGGUGCGCGAGAUGAGUAUUCUAAGGCGCUUGAGAGAACUCAGGAGAAGGAACUCGGCAAAUUGACACCGUAACUUCGGAAGAAGGUGUGCCCUAUUAGUGUGUAGUGGACAACGAAGCAUGAAUGGGUUGCAAAAAAUCGGUGGCUGCGACUGUUUAUUAAAAACACAGCACUCUGCAAACACGAAAGUGGACGUAUAGGGUGUGACGCCUGCCCGGUGCUGGAAGAUUAAAUGAUGGGGUGCAAGCUCUUGAUUGAAGUCCCAGUAAACGGCGGCCGUAACUAUAACGGUCCUAAGGUAGUGAAAUUCCUUGUCGGGUAAGUUCCGACCUGCCGAAUGGCGUAACGAUGGCCACACUGUCUCCUCCUGAGACUCAGCGAAGUUGAAAUGUUUGUGAUGAUGCAAUCUCCCCGCGGAAAGACGGAAAGACCCCAUGAACCUUUACUGUAGCUUUGUAUUGGACUUUGAACAGAUCUGUGUAGGAUAGGUGGGAGGCUUUGAAGCAGGGUCGCUAGAUCUUGUGGAGCCAACGUUGAAAUACCACCCUGGUGUGUUUGAGGUUCUAACCUAGGUCCAUAUCUGGAUCGGGGACAGUGCAUGGUAGGCAGUUUGACUGGGGCGGUCUCCUCCCAAAGCGUAACGGAGGAGUUCGAAGGUACGCUAGUUACGGUCGGACAUCGUGACGAUAGUGCAAUGGCAUAAGCGUGCUUAACUGCGAGACUGACAAGUCGAGCAGAUGCGAAAGCAGGACAUAGUGAUCCGGUGGUUCUGUAUGGAAGGGCCAUCGCUCAACGGAUAAAAGGUACUCUGGGGAUAACAGGCUGAUACCGCCCAAGAGUUCAUAUCGACGGCGGUGUUUGGCACCUCGAUGUCGGCUCAUCUCAUCCUGGGGCUGUAGCCGGUCCCAAGGGUAUGGCUGUUCGCCAUUUAAAGAGGUACGUGAGCUGGGUUUAAAACGUCGUGAGACAGUUUGGUCCCUAUCUUCCGUGGGCGCUGCAGAUUUGAGGAAGCCUGCUCCUAGUACGAGAGGACCGGAGUGGACACACCUCUGGUGUAUCGGUUGUCACGCCAGUGGCAUUGCCGAGUAGCUAAGUGUGGAAGAGAUAACCGCUGAAAGCAUCUAAGCGGGAAACUCGUUUCAAGAUGAGAUCUGCCGGGGCCUUGAGCCCCCUAAAGAGUCGUUCAAGACCAGGACGUUGAUAGGUCAGGUGUGGAAGC
rnacentral:rRNA from 1 species